UUAAGCGACUAAGCGUACACGGUGGAUGCCCUGGCAGUCAGAGGCGAUGAAGGACGUGCUAAUCUGCGAUAAGCGUCGGUAAGGUGAUAUGAACCGUUAUAACCGGCGAUUUCCGAAUGGGGAAACCCAGUGUGUUUCGACACACUAUCAUUAACUGAAUCCAUAGGUUAAUGAGGCGAACCGGGGGAACUGAAACAUCUAAGUACCCCGAGGAAAAGAAAUCAACCGAGAUUCCCCCAGUAGCGGCGAGCGAACGGGGAGCAGCCCAGAGCCUGAAUCAGUGUGUGUGUUAGUGGAAGCGUCUGGAAAGGCGUGCGAUACAGGGUGACAGCCCCGUACACAAAAAUGCACAUGCUGUGAGCUCGAUGAGUAGGGCGGGACACGUGGUAUCCUGUCUGAAUAUGGGGGGACCAUCCUCCAAGGCUAAAUACUCCUGACUGACCGAUAGUGAACCAGUACCGUGAGGGAAAGGCGAAAAGAACCCCGGCGAGGGGAGUGAAAAAGAACCUGAAACCGUGUACGUACAAGCAGUGGGAGCACGCUUAGGCGUGUGACUGCGUACCUUUUGUAUAAUGGGUCAGCGACUUAUAUUCUGUAGCAAGGUUAACCGAAUAGGGGAGCCGAAGGGAAACCGAGUCUUAACUGGGCGUUAAGUUGCAGGGUAUAGACCCGAAACCCGGUGAUCUAGCCAUGGGCAGGUUGAAGGUUGGGUAACACUAACUGGAGGACCGAACCGACUAAUGUUGAAAAAUUAGCGGAUGACUUGUGGCUGGGGGUGAAAGGCCAAUCAAACCGGGAGAUAGCUGGUUCUCCCCGAAAGCUAUUUAGGUAGCGCCUCGUGAAUUCAUCUCCGGGGGUAGAGCACUGUUUCGGCAAGGGGGUCAUCCCGACUUACCAACCCGAUGCAAACUGCGAAUACCGGAGAAUGUUAUCACGGGAGACACACGGCGGGUGCUCGGCCUGCGCGGAAGAUGUAACGGGGCUAAACCAUGCACCGAAGCUGCGGCAGCGACACUGUGUGUUGUUGGGUAGGGGAGCGUUCUGUAAGCCUGCGAAGGUGUGCUGUGAGGCAUGCUGGAGGUAUCAGAAGUGCGAAUGCUGACAUAAGUAACGAUAAAGCGGGUGAAAAGCCCGCUCGCCGGAAGACCAAGGGUUCCUGUCCAACGUUAAUCGGGGCAGGGUGAGUCGACCCCUAAGGCGAGGCCGAAAGGCGUAGUCGAUGGGAAACAGGUUAAUAUUCCUGUACUUGGUGUUACUGCGAAGGGGGGACGGAGAAGGCUAUGUUGGCCGGGCGACGGUUGUCCCGGUUUAAGCGUGUAGGCUGGUUUUCCAGGCAAAUCCGGAAAAUCAAGGCUGAGGCGUGAUGACGAGGCACUACGGUGCUGAAGCAACAAAUGCCCUGCUUCCAGGAAAAGCCUCUAAGCAUCAGGUAACAUCAAAUCGUACCCCAAACCGACACAGGUGGUCAGGUAGAGAAUACCAAGGCGCUUGAGAGAACUCGGGUGAAGGAACUAGGCAAAAUGGUGCCGUAACUUCGGGAGAAGGCACGCUGAUAUGUAGGUGAAGUCCCUCGCGGAUGGAGCUGAAAUCAGUCGAAGAUACCAGCUGGCUGCAACUGUUUAUUAAAAACACAGCACUGUGCAAACACGAAAGUGGACGUAUACGGUGUGACGCCUGCCCGGUGCCGGAAGGUUAAUUGAUGGGGUCAGCGCAAGCGAAGCUCUUGAUCGAAGCCCCGGUAAACGGCGGCCGUAACUAUAACGGUCCUAAGGUAGCGAAAUUCCUUGUCGGGUAAGUUCCGACCUGCACGAAUGGCGUAAUGAUGGCCAGGCUGUCUCCACCCGAGACUCAGUGAAAUUGAACUCGCUGUGAAGAUGCAGUGUACCCGCGGCAAGACGGAAAGACCCCGUGAACCUUUACUAUAGCUUGACACUGAACAUUGAGCCUUGAUGUGUAGGAUAGGUGGGAGGCUUUGAAGUGUGGACGCCAGUCUGCAUGGAGCCGGCCUUGAAAUACCACCCUUUAAUGUUUGAUGUUCUAACGUUGACCCGUGAUCCGGGUUGCGGACAGUGUCUGGUGGGUAGUUUGACUGGGGCGGUCUCCUCCUAAAGAGUAACGGAGGAGCACGAAGGUUGGCUAAUCCUGGUCGGACAUCAGGAGGUUAGUGCAAUGGCAUAAGCCAGCUUGACUGCGAGCGUGACGGCGCGAGCAGGUGCGAAAGCAGGUCAUAGUGAUCCGGUGGUUCUGAAUGGAAGGGCCAUCGCUCAACGGAUAAAAGGUACUCCGGGGAUAACAGGCUGAUACCGCCCAAGAGUUCAUAUCGACGGCGGUGUUUGGCACCUCGAUGUCGGCUCAUCACAUCCUGGGGCUGAAGUAGGUCCCAAGGGUAUGGCUGUUCGCCAUUUAAAGUGGUACGCGAGCUGGGUUUAGAACGUCGUGAGACAGUUCGGUCCCUAUCUGCCGUGGGCGCUGGAGAACUGAGGGGGGCUGCUCCUAGUACGAGAGGACCGGAGUGGACGCAUCACUGGUGUUCGGGUUGUCAUGCCAAUGGCACUGCCCGGUAGCUAAAUGCGGAAGAGAUAAGUGCUGAAAGCAUCUAAGCACGAAACUUGCCCCGAGAUGAGUUCUCCCUGACUCCUUGAGAGUCCUGAAGGAACGUUGAAGACGACGACGUUGAUAGGCCGGGUGUGUAAGCGCAGCGAUGCGUUGAGCUAACCGGUACUAAUGAACCGUGAGGCUUAACCUU
rnacentral:rRNA from 1 species